CGGUUUAUUAGAAGACAGCCUGCGGCAAAAUUGAAAACGGAGAUUGCAGAGAAGUUCGACUGCAAUCCUGGCAAUAUCCGAGGCUGAGGCACGAAAAUUAAUUUCACUUUUAUUUGAAGACAAGCUUAUGCACACCAAGCAGGAUUGAAAAAUAACUGCUACUCCUGAAUAUUCACACCAGACACCUAUUGCUAAAUCAUGAAUAAAUGACAGAGAGCAUUUUCACCACAUAUACAAA